GACGAACGCUGGCGGCGUGCUUAACACAUGCAAGUCGAACGGAAAGGCCCUGCUUUUGUGGGGUGCUCGAGUGGCGAACGGGUGAGUAACACGUGAGUAACCUGCCCUUGACUUUGGGAUAACUUCAGGAAACUGGGGCUAAUACCGGAUAGGAGCUCCUGCUGCAUGGUGGGGGAUGGAAAGUUUCGGCGGUUGGGGAUGGACUCGCGGCUUAUCAGCUUGUUGGGGUGGUAGUGGCUUACCAAGGCUUUGACGGGUAGCCGGCCUGAGAGGGUGACCGGCCACAUUGGGACUGAGAUACGGCCCAGACUCCUACGGGAGGCAGCAGUGGGGAAUAUGGCACAAUGGGCGGAAGCCUGAUGCAGCAACGCCGCGUGCGGGAUGACGGCCUUCGGGUUGUAAACCGCUUUCGCCUGUGACGAAGCGUGAGUGACGGUAAUGGGUAAAGAAGCACCGGCUAACUACGUG
rnacentral:rRNA from 1 species